rnacentral:rRNA from 1 species
AACGAACGCUGGCGGCGUGACUAACACAUGCAAGUCGAACGGGGAAAGUAGCAAUACGAGUACUAGUGGCGCACGGGUGAGGAAUACAUGGGUAAUCUGCCCUCGAGCUCGGGAUAACCAGUCGAAAGACUGGCUAAUACCGGAUAUGACCACAAGAUCUGAGGAUCAAGGGGUAAAAGGUUUUUCGCUCGAGGAUGAGCCCAUGUGGGAUUAGCUAGUUGGUGUAGGUAACGGCUCACCAAGGCGACGAUCCCUAACUGGUCUUAGAGGAUGAUCAGUCACACUGGAACUGAGACACGGUCCAGACUCCUACGGGAGGCAGCAGUAGGGGAAUAUUGCACAAUGGAGGAAACUCUGAUGCAGCGACGCCGCGUGAGUGAUGAAGGCCUUCGGUCGUAAGACUCUGUCGUAUGGGACUAACAAAAUAGAAGGUAACCGAAUAGCAAGAAAAGGGAAGUACGGCGUAACUUACGUUGCC